AUUGAACGCUGGCGGCAUGCCUUACACAUGCAAGUCGAACGGCAGCACGGGAGCAAUCCUGGUGGCGAGUGGCGAACGGGUGAGUAAUAUAUCGGAACGUGCCCAGUCGUGGGGGAUAACGUAGCGAAAGCUACGCUAAUACCGCAUACGAUCUACGGAUGAAAGCGGGGGAUCGCAAGACCUCGCGCGAUUGGAGCGGCCGAUAUCAGAUUAGGUAGUUGGUGAGGUAAAGGCUCACCCAAGCCGACGAUCUGUAGCUGGUCUGAGAGGACGACCAGCCACACUGGGACUGAGACACGGCCCAGACUCCUACGGGAGGCAGCAGUGGGGAAUUUUGGACAAUGGGCGCAAGCCUGAUCCAGCAAUGCCGCGUGCAGGAUGAAGGCC
rnacentral:rRNA from 1 species